rnacentral:misc_RNA from 1 species
UUUUUUUUUUUUUCAGAGGAAUUUGAAUGUCAUGCUUCAUUAAUCUAAAAACAUCCAUUAGCAUUAGAACAACAGAAGAACAUCUAAUUGCAAUUCCCAUUCCCAUUCCUAUUGCCAUUAUUUUAAAAUGAAAAAUAAAAGGCUGAAAAAGAAAAACCAAGUCUAAGCCAACUAUUAGCAACAGACAGCAAAUACUUAUUUCGAGGUCCCAAGACCACACGCAUAGAUCAGUAGCAGCUCAGCGAGGUCCCUAGCCACAAAGGUUCUAAAAACCAUGUAUCUUAAUAUAUUCUUUCUUCACAAGGUCAGCAUUAACAAGGAAACUCUGAACGUUCUUUCGCUGAUCUCCUUGGAGCUGGAUUACCUCUCCAAGUUCUUUGUCAUGCACAACGUUUCCAUUACAACAGAAUUCCUUCUUGACAGCCUUGAGGAUCUUCUCGUAACUGAAUUCUUUGGGUAGCCCUUGAACUGU